CAACUCCAUAGCUCAAAAAACCUAUGUCCAGUUUGUGAAUUGCUACUGAUCUUCUUGAUGUAAGCUGCCACAAGGCCAAAUUGCCUCACGUUCAGUCAUCUCGGGAUUGUGAUUAUAGAAUUAUAGAAUGGUUUGGGUAGGAAGGGACCUUUCAGAUCAUCCAGUUCCACCCCCCCGCUACAGGCAGCAACACCUCCCACCUAGACCAGCUUGCUCAAGGUCCCACCUAGCCUGGCCUUGAAUGCUUCCAGAAUGGGUGCAUCCACAGCUUAUCUGGGCAAACUGUUACAGUAUCUCACCAUCCUCACAGUAAAGAAUUUCUUCUUACAAUCUAGUCCACAAUCUGCCCUCUUCCAUUUCCCUCCAUUCUGUCGCUAAGUGCCCUGAUAAAAAGUCCCUCCCCAGCAUCACCUGCAUUAGUUGAAAUCGGAGCAGAAGGCAGUCUCAGGUAUAGGUGGAAAGCAAGGUUUUCCCACACUUAGUUAAUGGUGUGAAAUAUGGUGUCAGAAUGCCUUGCUGAAGUCAAGGCACACAGCAUCCACUGCCCCCCCCCCCCCCAAUCUACCCAGCCAGUGAUGACAUCAGAGAACGCUGUCAGGUUGGUCAAGCAUGACUUCCCCUUGGUGGAUCCGUGUUGGCUACGCCCGAUAACCUUCUUCUCUUCCAAUGGCUUGGAGAGGGUAUCCAGAACAAGUUGUUCCAUCAUCUUUCUGGGGAUGGAGGUGAGGCUGAGUAGCCUGUAGCUUCCCAGAUCCGCCUUCUUGCACUUUUGAAAGACUGGAGUGACACUGGCUAUCCUCCAGUCUUCAGGCAUCUCUCUCCUGUUUGCCAGGACCUUCCAAAGAUGACAGAGAGCCAUUUAGCAAUCACCUCUGCCAGUUCCUUCAGCACAUGUGGGUGCAUCCCAUCGGGGCCUGUGGAUUAGCGUGCGUUAAUUUUGGCUAGAUGCUCUCUGGCCCAAUCCUCCUCGACCAAGGGGAAGCCUUCCCUUCCCCAGACUUUCUCU
rnacentral:lncRNA from 1 species